AAGACACAGUGGGAGUGCUCUCGUUCCCCGUAUCCCUCUUUCCUCUCCGCCUCCGCCUCCGCCUCCGAUCUCUGGGGCUUCCCAGCAUUCGAUCUCGUCGAUCAUGUCCGCAAUUUUAUUUUUUUGAGUGCAUCAGGAGAAGGGUCAACCAUUGCCCAAGUUUGGAGAGUGGGAUGUCAACAAUCCUGCCUCGGCUGAAGGUUUCACUGUUAUAUUUAACAAAGUUCGAGAUGAGAAGAAGACAGGUGGUAACUCGGGCACUCCGACAACACCAACGAGAAAA